CGGGGUGAGUAACGCGUGGGCAACCUGCCUUACACAGGGGGAUAACACUUAGAAAUAGGUGCUAAUACCGCAUAAGCGCACAGCUUUGCAUGAAGCAGUGUGAAAAACUCCGGUGGUGUAAGAUGGACCCGCGUCUGAUUAGCUGGUUGGCAGGGUAAAGGCCUACCAAGGCGACGAUCAGUAGCCGGCCUGAGAGGGUGAACGGCCACAUUGGGACUGAGACACGGCCAGACUCCUACGGGAGGCAGCAG
rnacentral:rRNA from 1 species